rnacentral:rRNA from 1 species
GACGAACGCUGGCGGCGUGCUUAACACAUGCAAGUCGAACGUGAUUUUUGUGGAAAUUCUUUCGGGAAUGGAAAUGAAAUGAAAGUGGCGAACGGGUGAGUAACACGUGAGCAACCUACCUUACACAGGGGGAUAGCCGUUGGAAACGACGAUUAAUACCGCAUGAGACCACAGAAUCGCAUGAUAUAGGGGUCAAAGAUUUAUCGGUGUAAGAAGGGCUCGCGUCUGAUUAGCUAGUUGGAAGGGUAAAGGCCUACCAAGGCGACGAUCAGUAGCCGGUCUGAGAGGAUGAACGGCCACAUUGGAACUGAGACACGGUCCAAACUCCUACGGGAGGCAGCAGUGGGGAAUAUUGCACAAUGGGGGGAACCCUGAUGCAGCGACGCCGCGUGAGCGAAGAAGGUUUUCGAAUCGUAAAGCUCUGUCCUAUGAGAAGAUAAUGACGGUAUCAUAGGAGGAAGCCCCGGCUGAAUACGUGCCAGCAGCCGCGGUAAUACGUAUGGGGCGAGCGUUGUCCGGAAUUAUUGGGCGUAAAGGGUACGUAGGCGGCCUUUUAAGUCAGGUGUGAAAGCGUGAGGCUUAACCUCAUUAAGCACUUGAAACUGGAAGGCUUGAGUGAAGGAGAGGAAAGUGGAAUUCCUAGUGUAGCGGUGAAAUGCGUAGAUAUUAGGAGGAAUACCGUUGGCGAAGGCGACUUUCUGGACUUUUACUGACGCUCAGGUACGAAAGCGUGGGGAGCAAACAGG